rnacentral:rRNA from 1 species
AUGAAUCAUUUGUGACUGAGCGGCGGACGGGUGAGUAACGCGUGAGUAACCUGCCUCAUACAGGGGAAUAACAGUUAGAAAUGACUGCUAAUGCCGCAUAAGCGCACAGGGCCGCAUGGCCCGGUGUGAAAAACUCCGGUGGUAUGAGAUGGACUCGCGUCUGAUUAGCUAGUUGGCAGGGUAACGGCCUACCAAGGCAACGAUCAGUAGCCGGCCUGAGAGGGUGAACGGCCACAUUGGGACUGAGACACGGCCCAAACUCC